GGAAUUUUGCGCCAUGGGCGAAAGCCUGACGCAGCAACGCCGCGUGAGUGAUGAAGGCCUUCGGGUCGUAAAGCUCUGUCAGAGGGGAAGAACCUCCUGUCGGUUAAUAUCCGGCAGGCCUGACGGUACCCUCAAAGGAAGAACCGGCUAACUCCGUGCCAGCAGCCGCGGUAAUACGAAGGGUGCAAGCGUUGUUCGGAAUUAUUGGGCGUAAAGCGCGUGUAGGCGGUCUGUUAAGUCUGAUGUGAAAGCCCUGGGCUCAACCCGGGAAGUGCAUUGGAAACGGGCAGACUUGAGUACGGGAGAGGGUAGUGGAAUUCCGAGUGUAGGGGUGAAAUCCGUAGAUAUUCGGAGGAACACCGGUGGCGAAGGCGGCUACCUGGACCGAUACUGACGCUGAGACGCGAAAGCGUGGGGAGCAAAC
rnacentral:rRNA from 1 species